rnacentral:rRNA from 1 species
GACGAACGCUGGCGGCGUGCCUAAUACAUGCAAGUCGAACGCAGUGGGGACGGGUGAGUAACACGUGGGUAACCUCCCAUCAGAGGGGAUAACACUUGGAAACAGGUGCUAAACCGAUACUGAUGGAUGGACCCGCGGUGCAUUAGCUAGUUGGUGAGGUAACGGCGCACCAAGGCGACGAUCCGUAGCGGGUGUGAGAGGAUGACCAGCCACACGGGGACUGAGACACGGCCCAGACUCCUACGGGAGGCAGCAGUGGGGAAUUUUGGACAAUGGGGGAAACCCGUAUCCAGCCAUCCCGCGUGUGUGAUGAAGGCCUUCGGGUUGUAAAGCACUUUUGGCAGGAAAGCGGUACCUGCAGAAUAAGCACCGGCUAACUACGUGCCAGCAGCCGCGGUAAUUC